UGCUAUUCGGUCGAACAACUGGUAAGCUGUUAACUAAUGUAUUUAAUACUUCGAAAUUUUGGUACGACGUUCGUAAGAAUGACUUCCCUAUUUCAAAAGUUUCAGAUACACAAAUAUAUUGCGCUAUGCGCUCGGAGGUUUCAUUCUUAUGGAACAAGGUACUGUUAAAUGGUUCAACGGUGACAAAGGUUUUGGUUUUAUUACAUUGGAAAACGGUUCAGACGUUUUCGUACACUUCUCAGCAAUCAAUGCUGAAGGUUACAAGACGCUUGAAGAAGGCCAAAAAGUAACUUUGGACGUUGAAGACGGCGACCGCGGCCCACAAGCUGCUAACGUUACUGUUGCUUAAUUCAAUUUAAGCGUUUAAAGAAACCAUCAUUUCUUCGGAAAUGGUGGUUUUU
rnacentral:sRNA from 1 species